rnacentral:rRNA from 1 species
GCGACCCAGGUCAGGCGGGAUUACCC